rnacentral:rRNA from 1 species
AACGUAGGAGACAAACGUUAUCCGGAGUUACUGGGCGUAAAGGGCGCGUAGGCGGCCACCGCAAGUCGACUGUGAAAUCUCCGGGCUUAACCCGGAAAGGUCAGCCGAUACUGCGGGGCUAGAGUGCAGAAGGGGCAACUGGAAUUCUCGGUGUAGCGGUGAAAUGCGUAGAUAUCGAGAGGAACACCUGCGGCGAAGGCGGGUUGCUGGGCUGACACUGACGCUGAGGCGCGAAAGCUAGGGGAGCGAACGGG